rnacentral:rRNA from 1 species
UGGGGAAUUUUGGACAAUGGGCGCAAGCCUGAUCCAGCAAUGCCGCGUGCAGGAUGAAGGCCUUCGGGUUGUAAACUGCUUUUGUACGGAACGAAACGGUCUUUUCUAAUACAGAAGGCUAAUGACGGUACCGUAAGAAUAAGCACCGGCUAACUAUGUGCCAGCAGCCGCGGUAAUACGAAGGGGGCUAGCGUUGCUCGGAAUUACUGGGCGUAAAGGGAGCGUAGGCGGACAUUAAAGUCAGGGGUGAAAUCCCGGGGCUCAACCUCGGAAUUGCCUUUGUGACUGCAUAGCUAGAGUACGGUAGAGGGGGAUGGAAUUCCGCGUGUAGCAGUGAAAUGCGUAGAUAUGCGGAGGAACACCGAUGGCGAAGGCAAUCCCCUGGACCUGUACUGACGCUCAUGCACGAAAGCGUGGGGAGCAAAC